rnacentral:rRNA from 1 species
GACGUAGGGGGCGAGCGUUGUCCGGAUUCAUUGGGCGUAAAGAGCGCGCAGGCGGUCGUUCAAGUCGCGUGUGAAAGCCCCCGGCUCAACUGGGGAGGGUCACGCGAUACUGAUCGACUCGAAGGCAGGAGAGGGUAGUGGAAUUCCCGGUGUAGUGGUGAAAUGCGUAGAUAUCGGGAGGAACACCAGUGGCGAAGGCGACUACCUGGCCUGUUCUUGACGCUGAGGCGCGAAAGCUAGGGGAGCAAACGGG